rnacentral:rRNA from 1 species
AGAGUUUGAUCCUGGCUCAGGAUGAACGCUAGCGGCAGGCCUAACACAUGCAAGUCGAACGGUAACAGGAAAGAGCUUGCUUUUUUGCUGACGAGUGGCGCACGGGUGCGUAACGCGUAUACAAUCUACCUUUUACAGGGGGAUAGCCUUUAGAAAUGAAGAAUAAUACCCCAUGGCAAGCAGGUGUGGCAUCACAACUGCUUUAAAGUUUCGGCGGUAAAAGAUGAGUAUGCGUUCUAUUAGCUAGAUGGUGUGGUAACGGCACACCAUGGCAACGAUAGAUAGGGGCCCUGAGAGGGGGAUCCCCCACACUGGUACUGAGACACGGACCAGACUCCUACGGGAGGCAGCAGUGAGGAAUAUUGGACAAUGGGCGAGAGCCUGAUCCAGCCAUGCCGCGUGCAGGAAGACUGCCCUAUGGGUUGUAAACUGCUUUUAUAUAGGAAGAAACCCCUUUACGUGUAGAGGGCUGACGGUACUAUAAGAAUAAGGAUCGGCUAACUCCGUGCCAGCAGCCGCGGUAAUACGGAGGAUCCAAGCGUUAUCCGGAAUCAUUGGGUUUAAAGGGUCCGUAGGUGGACUGUUAAGUCAGAGGUGAAAUCCUGCAGCUCAACUGUAGAAUUGCCUUUGAUACUGGCGGUCUUGAAUCAUUGUGAAGUGGUUAGAAUAUGUAGUGUAGCGGUGAAAUGCAUAGAUAUUACAUAGAAUACCGAUUGCGAAGGCAGAUCACUAACAAUGUAUUGACACUGAUGGACGAAAGCGUGGGGAGCGAACAGGAUUAGAUACCCUGGUAGUCCACGCC